rnacentral:snoRNA from 1 species
UCCAAGAUCAUACGUAAAUGUGGAAUCCACGACUCCGUCCUUCUUGUCUUUCUCCAUUUUCACCAAAAAUGCGUCCACAAAAUCGUCACCGUCCUCGCUCAUCACA